UCCCAGGAACUUCACUUGCUCAUCUCUCAACCUGAGUCAGGUUUUUCUGCCUGGUGACUCCUGACGCGCCCACAGUUCUCCCUGUCACACCAGUGGUUCCUAGAGAAGCCAAUCAGAGUCCUCGCCGCGAUUCCUGGUAACAAAAGCUGCAUACACCCGCAGGAACUCGGAUUUUCCCGUCUAUGGGGUGUGAGUCAUGGAGUUCAGAACCCUGUUCUUGCUGCUUUGGGGGCCUCUAACCCUGACUCAAAUCUGGGCGAGGUCCCACUCCCUGCGUUAUUUCCACACUGCCGUUUCCCGACCUGGCCACGAAGAGGCUUUUUACACCUCGGUGGGCUAUGUGGACGACACUCUGUUCCUGCGCUUCCACAGCGACGCCCUGAAUCCGAGGGUGGAGCCGCGCGCGCAGUGGAUGGAGUAUGAGACACUAGCAUUUUGGGAAGCGCAAACCAAGAUCGCCGAGGCCCACCAGCAGAAAUUGCGCUGGAACCUGCGCUCCACCCUCCGCUACCUCAACCAGAGCGAGGACGGCUCUCACACCUUCCAGUGGAUUUCUGGCUGUGACCUUGGGCCAAAUGGAAGCCUUCUUCAUGGACAUGAAGAGUUUGCCUAUGAUGGUGCGGAUUACAUCUCCCUGAAUGAGAACCUGCGCUCUUGGACCUCAUGGAACAAGGCUGCUCAGAUCACCCAGCGCAAAUGGGAGGAUUCAGGAGAUGCAGAGCACUACAGGGCCUACCUGCAGGAGGAGUGCCUGGAGUGGCUCCGCAGAUUCCUGGAGAAAGGGAAGGACAAGUUGCUGCACACAGAGUCUCCAAAGACACAUGUGACCCGUCACUUCAGCCCUGAAGGAGAUGUCACCCUGAGGUGCUGGGCCUUGGGAUUCUACCCUAAGGAGAUCACCCUGACUUGGCAGAGGGAUGGGGAGGACCAGAUUCAGAACAUGGAGCUUGUGGAGACCAGGCCUGCAGGGGAUGGAACCUUCCAGAAGUGGGCAGCUGUGGUGGUGCCUGCUGGGGAAGAGCAGAGAUACACAUGCCAUGUGCAACAUGAGGGGCUGCCUGAACCCCUCACCCUGAGAUGGGGUAAGGAGGGGUUGAGGGCACAGAGCCUGUUGGCAGGAAAAGCAGGAGCCCUUCUGAAAACCCUCAGUAGGGUCAGGGCUGAGAGCCAGGGGUCAGGGUCCCUCACCUACCUUACCUUCCCUUCCCAGAGUCACCUGCUGUGUCCAUCAUCCCUGUCAUGGGAAUUGUUGCUGGCCUGGUUCUUUUUGUAGUUGUGGUCACUGGAGCUGCGGUGGCUGUUAUGAGGUGGUGGCGGAAUGCAGUCAACGUCAGUGCCUGGCACUCCAAUAUUCUGUAGCUCCAUAAAGUUGAGACUCUGGAGGGCUUCAAAUGGUAGAAGGUGUGAUAGAGGAGAAUGGAGAAGGUUGUGGGAAUUCUCUUGGAUCUUGGGUGAGUGCUGGGUUCUUCAGAAUGUUGCCACUUAAAGCAACUGCCCUGAUUCUGUUCAUCACACUUUUGUUCCAUAGCAGAGACAGCUGCCUUGUGUGGGACUGAGCAACACAAGAUUUUUCAAGCCUUUGUGACUAGAAGAACCCUGGAGUCCCUUUCUGUCAUGGAUUAUUAAGCCAUCCACAUUCCUAUUGGCAUAAUGUGCAGAAGUGAGACCAGUGCAUAGGACCCAUGUCCUGCACUGUCCCUUGCCCACUCACCUUUCACCUUUUCUCUGUUCUAGCAGAGUUCAGGCUGGGAUGACUCCUUCCCUCUCUCAACAUCACUGUGCACUGAGCCACAACUUCUUACUUCCAUCCUGAAUAUAAGAAUCAGAAUAUAAAUAUUUUUCAAAAUCUUGAUCCAAUGGAUAGAUUGGUUAAUAAACAGAGAAAAUUCCAAAUUAGAGAGAGGAAAUAAGUGGAAAUACUGAGAACCUUCUAGAAUGUGUUUUCAUUGUCCUGAGUCAGCGACAGCUAAAGACAGAAGAAGGCUGUGAGGAGCCCAGUGUGGACAGGGCUGUAUCCAGUUAGUGCUCAGGCCAUGCUGGGCUUUCAUGUGGUCCCUCUUUAGCUUGGUCAUCUUCUGUAUUCCCUUGUCCUUGUCACUCGGGAGAACGUUGUCCCACCAGGACUUGUGAUCACUGGGACACAGACAUCACCAGAGCCUUUUGCUGUCAGCCAGACCCUAGGCAUCAAUGGCUUCCUGUGGCCAGAUCAGGCUGUCCCCCUUCAUCCUUUGUAUUUCCUGUCCCUUAGUUUCUAUGGAGGAUUAUAUAUAUGUUUGUUCUCCCUCCUCCUGAGGUAGCUGGCUUGAUGAGGGGUGCCGUAGCCUUUUGAAGACUUCAUGACAGUGGCAGCUACAUGGAGACACCUUGCAGGCUGAGGCCAGGUUCCUCAGGAGGCUGCACGUGCUCUGAACUAGUGUCUGACAUGUGGCACUGUUUCCCCCACAGCCAGGAUUCAUGGGUCCAGGAAUCAAGAAAUGGGAAUGGGUGUGGCAACUCUUACUAUGGCCCCCAGUGACCCACUAGCAAUGUAUGUGCUUCCUGUCCCCAUGACCUUAUGCCCUGCUGGCCUGGAGAUCUUAGUUUCACAGAAGAAAUGCUUCCAUCAAGAGACAACAAUGAGUUCACUGAAUUGGAAAGGACAACUGUCACUGGCCAUGUUGGGCUCUUCUUGCUUUGAGUCAAGAGCCCAAGAGUGGAGUUAGCUGGUGGGUCUGAGUGAUGGAUCCUGGCAGCCAGGGGGACAUGGGACAGCUGCUCCCCAUGGAGGGAAGGAAGAGAAUGUCUGGAAUAUAGGAUUCCCUUAGGGUGCCUCUUAGUGUUACAUCCCCUGUGAUUAAUGUCCAUGGGAAACUACAUCAGCCCAACCCAGGCAGAACUAAGCGUGGCCAGGACCCUUCAGGAAUGAAGGUUGGCAUCACCACAGCAGGAGAAAUGCCACAGGCAGCUGAACUACUUGGUGAAUUGAAGGGAAUACGGAAUGGGAGGUGGAAGAAGAUAGUUAUGAGUACCAGCAGCAACACAUGACCAUUUUCAGAGGAGAGGACUGUAAUUUUCAUUUGCAUAUCUUCUUUAUUUUAUUAUGAAUAUGUUUGUGGUAUGUAUUUAUUAAUCACAUAUACUUAUUUUCUUGAAUCUCACCCUUUUAUAUAUAACAUAAAUAAUUUUGACUGUUUAUCAAAGUAUUAAGCAUUGUUAAGUGUAUAUCUUAGUGUUUUGAAUUUUGGUAUGUCUAUCAAGGGGAGGAGGAGAGGACAGCAUGGGUGUAGUUCAGUUGUAAGCAGAGAGUCUUAUCAUAUUAGGUGGAAGUAUAAUUUGUUAUUCUCUUUAUUUAGAUGUACAUUGUGAUUUAGGGAGAUUCUUCUGUGUGCCAAAUUGAUGACGGGGGAACUGGUGAUAGUUAAUUUUAUUUGUCAAAUUGGUUAGGGCCACUAUACUCAGUUAUUUGUCAAACAUAUCUCGAUGUUGUAAAGGCAUUUUGAGAUGAAAUCCACAUUAAAUCAGUAGUCUUGAGUAAAGCAGGACACCUUUCAAAAUGUGGUUGGGCUUCACUUAAUCAAUAGAAGACCUUAAGAAAAAGAUUGGCUCCCCCAAAGAAGAUGUAUUUUCUCAUCAUUGUUUUUGGACUGAAGUGUAACAUCAGCUCUUCCUGAGAUUCCAUCCUGCUAGUCUACCUUGAAUAUUUUCAAGUCAUUGCCUCCAAAAUUGCAUAUGACAAUUUCUUAAGGGAUCUCUUUCAACAGAUAGACAGAAAUACAUGUAGAUACAUAUCCUGUUAGUUCUGAUUCUCUGUAGAACCCUGACUACUACAAGCACAGUUUCCAAUGUUCUAACUACUAGAAAUGAAUGAUACAGAAAAGAAAAGGCAAUUUCACGGUUAUGGUUUGGAUCUGAAAUGUCCCCUGAGAAACUCAUGUACUGGAAACAUGAUAUCCAAUAUAGGAAUGUUCAGAAGUGAAAUGAUUAAAUUAUUACAUAAUCUCAAGAGUGGAUAAAUCCAUUGGAUGAAUUAAUAAUUUGAGUGAAUCACUGGGUAGUGCUUGACUAGAGAAAGUAGGCCAGUGGUGGUGUGUCCUUGGGGAUUACAUUUUGGCCGUGGCUCCUCACUCUCUGCUUUCUGGAUGCCAUGAGGGGAGAAGUUUUCCUCUGCCAUGUCCUUCCUCGUGAUGUUUCUGCCCUGGAGCCAUGCACUCAACCACUGAAACUUCAGUUUUGGUGUUGCUUUGGGAGAUUUCAUUGAAAAAAAGUCAGUUACCUUCCAGCUGUUAGACCCUUUGUAAACUAUGGACAGGUGACAUCCAAGCAGAAUCUGUUUUUGCCUGAGCAAUAAUGUUGUGGUUUCAAUGGGAUGUAGAUUUCUAGUCCACCCAGAAACCAGGAAAACUGGAAUUAAAUGUAGCAAUAUCUUCUCAUCAAGCAAUCUGAAGAACUUUUUAUUUGCCUAGGUACUGGGAAUGAUUUUAUUAGUUCUUUCUUUAAAAAAAAUUAUUCUUUAGUUGUAGGUGGACACAAUACCCUUAUUUAAUUUUUAUAUGGUGCUGAGGAUCAAAUUCAGAGCCUCACUCAUGCUAAGUGAGCACUUUUCCUCUGCGUCACAAUCCCAGCCCUUAUUUGUACUGUCUUGUAUGGCCUUGUGGCCUAAUACAAAUAAGCUGUCUUUCCAGGGAAGGAUGAUGUGCCCAAGGCUUGGAAUAUUUUAUUGUUUUCUUUUUAAGAUAUUCCUUUAUUAUUAUUAUUAUUUUAACAUUUGCAAUAUACGUACUUGUUUACAAAAUAUCUCCAAUGGCUUUAUGUAUAUGUGUAUAUAUUAUUUUUUACUGGCAAAAUAAAAACUUUAACAAACACUAAAAUAAAUCUGUUGCUGUGUACCAUAUGAUAGAUGAGAGAAUGAAGAGUUUAAACAAAACCUUCCAACAAUCUUCUCUCUAUAGCAGGACUAUUCAACCCAUUUUCCACAAUAUUACAUCAAAACUAUCAUUUACCCAAUUUUUCACUAAUCUUCAUGCAGGGGUUCUUUUUUUCUCCAACAAUAUCAAUAAUUAAUCUAAAUAUAAAUGAUACAGAUGUUGUAAUUAAGAGUAAUAAUUGUUCAACCUGUGUAAAAGCAAACAAUAACUAUAUGCUCUAUUCAUAUGUCAUCCUUUAAAUAUUAAUACACCAAUAGGUUAAAAGCAAAAGAAGGGUAAAAUAAGCACAAGAAAUCUGAAGAAGAGCUAUUAAUAUAAAAUAAAUGUCAAGAAAAAGUGUUUUCAGAGAUAAAGGGGAACACUUCAUAACCAUAAUAAGGUGACUUCUUCAAGAAAGUAUAACAAUCCUAAACAUGUAUGUACCUAAUAAUAAAAUUCCAAAAUACAUGAAGUAGAAAUUAAUAAAACUAUAAAGACAAAUCCACAAUCAUAUUUGGAGAUUUUAAGCCCCCUCACUUUGCUGGAAGGAAUAAUAAUAUUGAAGGCUUAACAACAUUACCAGCUACCUUGACCUGUUUGUUAUUUGUUACUUAUAGAGAACCACACACACAAAAAUGACAAGUAGAAAAUUAAUAGGGAUAGUCUAUACUCUGUCAUAAAAUAAAUUUUGAGAAAUUUUAAAAAUCUGAAAUCAUGAUUGUAUUAUUCACCAUUAAAGUGAAUUCUCAAUAAAAAAAAAAAAAACUUCCGUUUCAAUAAGUUGCAAUAUUAUUGAGAGUGGUGUAUGGUAGGCGAUGACAUAGACCCAAGACUUCGGUGCAAUCACAAUAGUUCCUUUAAAUGAUAAGUGUCUUUGUUUUUCCUAGGAAGUUUCACAUUUACUUUGUUAAGCAUGCCAAUUUUUAUACUCAAAAGUCAUCUUCAAAAAUACACACAGAUUGCUUUUCAGUUAGAAAACUGUGAAUUGUCCCACUGUUGUCAUGUAUUUAAAAAGUAAUAAAAUCAAUUAAAAAAAGAAAACUGUGAAUUGUCUAAAGUGUAUACUUCAGUCUAUCAUUAUGACAAUGUUGGUAGUCAGAAAUUGUUAGCUUGCAUCCAGAGACUAAUGUUUUUGUUUUUUUUUUUUUAAACUGGGUAUUUGGUCGGCUUCCUAUAAUGAAUUAAAUGUCCUUCACUAUGUUUUUGAAUGAAAUAUGGUAGAGGCUAUUUGGACACCAGUGUAAUUCUAAAACAAAAACCCCAUUAGGAUGUGCUUCUAAUGUUUUAUAAAGCAAUUCUAUACAGUGGUGGAUUUAUUCCAACGUGAAUAAUUCUUGCUAACAAUUCUUGCAAUAAACUUUGUUGCUUUGUUACCUUU